rnacentral:rRNA from 1 species
UGGGGAAUAUUGCACAAUGGGCGAAAGCCUGAUGCAGCAACGCCGCGUGAGUGAUGAAGGCCUUCGGGUUGUAAAGCUCUGUCUUCUGGGACGAUAAUGACGGUACCCGAGGCGGAAGCCACGGCUAACUACGUGCCAGCAGCUGCGGUAAUACGUAGGUGGCAAGCGUUGUCCGGAUUUACUGGGCGUAAAGGAUGCGUAGGCGGAUACUUAAGUCAGAUGUGAAAAUCCCGGGCUUAACUUGGGAACUGCAUUUGAAACUGGGUAUCGAGAGUGCGGGAGAGGAAAGUGGAAUUCCUAGUGUAGCGGUGAAAUGCGUAGAGAUUAGGAAGAACACCAGUGGCGAAGGCGACUUUCUGGACCGUAACUGACGCUGAGGCAUGAAAGCGUGGGGAGCAAACA